UACGUAGGGGGCAAGCGUUGUCCGGAAUUACUGGGCGUAAAGCGCGUGUAGGUGGCGAGGCAAGUCGGGUGUGAAAGCCCUGGGCUCAACCCAGGAAGUGCACUCGAUACUGCCUAGCUAGAGUCCCGGAGAGGUUGGUGGAACUCUCGGUGUAGAGGUGAAAUUCGUAGAUAUCGAGAAGAACACCGGUGGCGAAGGCGGCCAACUGGACGGUGACUGACACUGAGACGCGAAAGCGUGGGGAGCAAACAGG
rnacentral:rRNA from 1 species